GAAAGGUAAAUAGUCCUGAAAAUUGCUAUCGGAAAUUUUAUUACACAGAAUCUACACACAUCUAUACACUGUUAGUAUGAUAAUACCCAAACUUGAACAGCAUUUUAAAUAUAGACCUCAUGAAAACGUAAAAAAAUAACAAAAGUAACAGUAAACUGAAUUAUUAUAUUGUUAAAGAGAACUGAUGAGACAAGAUGCCGCUGCUUACUCUGUCUUGGCUGUGAAAAGCCACCUGCCCCGCAGGCCAGGUGAGUCUGACAUCUGCCAGGCUGGGUAUACGAGUGACAGCGGACCAAACCAAUUAGCAGUACAUGGACAGGGGACUUGUAGUCACCUCUGGACAAAAGUUUGGAGCCAGCAGACAGUUCGAAGUAAAUUGCUCGUAUUAAUAUUGCAGGGUACCUCAUUCGUCAUGUCGGUUCUUAAAAAGCUCUUGUUCCUCGAAGUUCCACAUUGAAAGGGUCUGUCAGACAUUCAGAGUUAGGAAUUUUUUAACUGAUAUGUAUUGUAAAUAGUGCUGAAGCAUAUUAAUUCAUCAAAAGAACGUUUAUGAAUAUAAAGUAGCAUAUUUUAAGAAUCAUGUGAGCUUCCGAUUUGCUGCUAAUCAGUUAGCAGGUACUCCGCAUUACGAGAAGGGAUAUUCCUCAUUCUGGAGAUGGAAGGUUGAGAAGAACUAUGGCAUAAAAAGAAAUAUAAAAAAAACAUGACGGAUAAACAAAAGCGCGUGGUAGCUGCUGCUAUAUUUUUAAUUGUAAUGAGUGAGGAUGUGAAAUGCGUUUUUAACCUGACACAGAAUUUCUCCCGGUGCCUAACGACUGACUGCAGAUAACGGUCUAUUACAAGUAAUCAGGUGACUAACGUAAGAGCCUGGGAACUGGUGACCGUGACAUCACAGCUUUGAGUCUUUGACCACUGCAAACCCUGGGAAAAAAAGCUCAGUAGUAGUGCGGUAGAGUUACAAAGCUAUAGGGUAUAAAUUGUAGCUCCGAGGUGCGGUAUAUAGAAGUACUGUGGACGUUUCAGAAGAAUGGUGCAAACAUUUGAAAAUGCUAAUGUCUUUGCUGAGCAAGACUUCCAUAUUUUGAAUGUAAACAAGAUGGAAUGAGAGUGGAGGCCCAGGGAAAAGCGCUCCAUUUUACAGCAUGGGUAGAAGGCAGAGCUAUACAAGAUUUCCAUAAUAAAUGU